CCUGGUUGAUCCUUCCAGUACUCAUAUGCUUGUCUCAAAUAUUAAUCUAUGCAUGUCUAACUAUGAACUAAUUCAAACUGUGAAACUGCGGAUGGCUCAUUAAAUCCAUUAUAGUUUAUUUAAUGGUACCCUACUACUCGAAUAACCGUAGUAAUUCCAGAGCUAAUAUGUGCACCAAGUCCCGACUCUUUGGAAGGGAUGCAUUUAUUAUAUAAAAAGUCGGCGUAGGCUUGCCCGCUUCUCCGGUGAAUCAUGAUAACUCAACGGAUUGCACAACCCUUGUGCUGGCGAAGCUUCAUUCAAAUUUAUUCCCUAACAACUUUCAAUGGUAGGAUAGAGGCCUACCAUGGUCAUGACAGUUGACAAAGAUUUAGGGUUUGAUUUCGGAGAGGGAUCCUAAUAAAUGGCUACCACAUACAAGGAAGGCAGCAGACAAGAAAAUUACCCAAUCCUGACAUGGGUAGGUAGUGACAAUAAAUAACAAUAUUGGGAUCAUCGAGUCUGGUAAUUGGAAUGAGUACAAUCUAAAUCCCUUAACAAGGAUCCAUUGGAGGGAAAUUUUGGUGCCAGCAUUCGUGGUAAUUCCAGCUCCAAUAUCGUAUAUUUAAGUUGUUGCAGUUAAAAAUCUCGUAGUUGGAUCUUGGGUCGCAAAGGUCAGUUCGCCUACUCGGUGUGCACCUUCCCUUCCGUCCCUUUUUCCAAUGGCAUGCUUCUGGCCUUAAUUGGUUGGGUCACCGUUUCGACGUUGUUACUUUGAAAAAAUUAGAGUGCUCAAAGCAAGCUUAUGCUCUGAAUACAUUAGCAUGGAAUAACGCAAUAGGAUACCGGUCCUAUUGUGUUGGCCUUCGAGACCAGAGUAAUUAUUAAUAGGGACUAUCGAGGGCAUUUGUAUUUCAUUUUCAGAGGUGAAAUUAUUGGAUUUAUGAAAGAUAGACAACUACGAAAGCAUUUUCCAAGGAUGUUUUCAUUAAUCAAGAAUGAAAUUUGGGGGCUCGAAUAUGAUCAAAUACUGUCCUAGUCUCAACCAUAAAUGAUGUUGACCAGGGAUCAAUAGAUGUUGCUCUAAGGACUCCACCAGCACCUUCUGAGAAAUCAGAGUGUUUGGGUUCUAGGGGGAGUAUGGUUGCAAGGAUUAAACUUAAAGGUUAUAUUAAAAAAUCUCUUGGUCGCCCAACCUCGACCAUGCCGUAUUAAAAAAACUACCUCCAAGCCAAAAUUGGUUCUUAUUCGUCAUUUGACUCAUCUUUUUUCCUAGUGCUCCCUUGAAUGGUUGUUUUCGUUACGUCUCUUCAUGUGUUUGGGCCCACAUAUUGCCUACUCACCUUGCAUUGUGUUUUGGUGCCCCUCUUGCCAACUCGCCUUGUAUUUCCCUUGGUCACCCAACCUUGGCCAUGUCAUUUUAAAAAAUCUACCUCGAAGCCCAAAUUGGUUCUUAUCCAUCCUACAACUCAUCUUUUUGCCUAGGGCUCCCUUGUGUGGUCAUUUUCGUUACAAAUCUUCGUGCGUUUGGGCGCCCAACUUUCCAACUAGCCUUGAGUUACAUUUGGGUGCCUCUAUUGCCAACUCACCUUACCUUGCCCUUGGUCUCCCAACCUUGUUCAGGCUCUUCGUGUGUUUCAUUAUGGAUCUUCAUGCGUUUGGCCAGGUUGAU
rnacentral:rRNA from 1 species